UACGAGAGGUGCAAGCGUUAUUCGGAAUUAUUGGGCGUAAAGGGUACGUAGGCGGUAUAUCAAGUCUGCUGUCAAAUUUCUCGGCUCAACCGGGAACCGGCGGUAGAUACUGAUGUGCUAGAGGAUGGAAGAGAGAAGUGGAAUUCUUGGAGUAGCGGUAAAAUGCGUAGAUCUCAAGAGGAACAUCGAUGGCGAAGGCAGCUUCUUGGUCCAUAUCUGACGCUCAGGUACGAAAGCGUGGGGAGCAAACAGG
rnacentral:rRNA from 1 species